AAGACUAUACUUUCAGGGAUCAUUUCUAUAGUUUCUAACUUGAGAAUUGUGUUUCUGAAGUGUCUGGUCUCGCCAACCACGAAGAAGAGAUGUGAUGUUUCUCUCUGAGUUUGAAGUGGACACUGAUUAAUGAUUCAGUUCAUGUUAUCACUGUCAUUGAUGAAUAAUCUUUGCUUCCUUUGUGAGCAAACAGGAGAGGAAUGUGAUCAGAGUGGG